rnacentral:rRNA from 1 species
UAAGCAUAUCAAUAAGCGGAGGAAAAGAAACCAACAGGGAUUGCCCUAGUAACGGCGAGUGAAGCGGCAACAGCUCAAAUUUGAAAUCUGGCGUAAGCCCGAGUUGUAAUUUGUAGAGGAUGCUUCUGGGUAGCGACCGAUCUAAGUUCCUUGGAACAGGACGUCAUAGAGGGUGAGAAUCCCGUAUGUGACCGGCCCGCACCCUUUACGUAGCUCCUUCGACGAGUCGAGUUGUUUGGGAAUGCAGCUCUAAAUGGGAGGUAAAUUUCUUCUAAAGCUAAAUACCGGCCAGAGACCGAUAGCGCACAAGUAGAGUGAUCGAAAGAUGAAAAGUACUUUGGAAAGAGAGUUAAAAAGCACGUGAAAUUGUUGAAAGGGAAGCGCCUACAACCAGACUUCGUGGCAGUGUUCCGCCGGUCUUCUGACCGGUUUAUUCUCUGUCGCGAGGCCAUCAUCGUCUAGGCCCGCCGGAUAAGACCUUAGGAAUGUAGCUCACCUUCGGGGGAGUGUUAUAGCUUGUGGUGAUGCGGCGAGGCUUGGGCGAGGUCCGCGCUUCGGCAAGGAUGAUGGCGUAAUGGUUGUCGGCGGCCCGUCUUGAAACACGGACCAAGGAGUCUAACAUCUAUGCGAGUGUUCGGGUGUCAAACCCCUACGCGUAAUGAAAGUGAACGGAGGUGGGAACCGCAAGGUGCACCAUCGACCGAUCCUGAUGUCCUCGGAUGGAUUUGAGUAAGAGCAUAGCUGUUGGGACCCGAAAGAUGGUGAACUAUGCCUGAAUAGGGUGAAGCCAGAGGAAACUCUGGUGGAGGCUCGCAGCGGUUCUGACGUGCAAAUCGAUCGUCAAAUUUGGGUAUAGGGGCGAAAGACUAAUCGAACCAUCUAGUAGCUGGUUCCUGCCGAAG